UAUUAAUUUAUUUCUAUAUGUGCAUGUGCAAAUGUGUGUGUGUGUAGAUAUGUAUAUCUAUCUAUCUAUCUAUCUAUAUUUCCCCUAGUGGCUGACAACUCCAAGAAGAAGGGAAUCAGGCCAGUUGGGUAGCUGCAUCCUGGUAGCUGGUUGGAGCUAUGUGGUCAUGGUAGAUGUGUAGCAUCGCAUCUUGCUAAUAGGUCUGCUCCAAUGCUUACUUUUUGUUCAAGUCUUUGCGAGACUAUGGAUUAAUUGUUUUAUUUAUAAAUAGAUGUAUAGUGAUGAAAAAUGUCAUAUAGACAGUACUGAAAACUGAUGCAUAACUGCCUUCCCUCAAGCACAGCACAAGCAAUGCAGACUGCAACCCUGCAGGCAUUUUAUUGUAAAGACAAAGAUUUCCUUACAGGGAUGGAAGGGACUUUUCCCUGUGGGGAUUUGUUUUGCAUGCUGGGUGAGGCUUAGAUUACAUGGACUUGAAGAAGUACAAACCAGAAGAGCUUUGUUUUCUUGCACAGCGUAGGCAUAAAUGAUUUUCUGACCUCCUCAUCAGGACCUCAGCUCCUCUUCCUCAUCUGAUGAAUCUGAUAAUCAAACCUAUACCUAUAGUCAUAGAUUAAAAAAUAAAGGGGGAGAGGAGAGGGAAGGGGACAAAAACUCUACAGGAUCACAGUAAUUCCUUUCUAAUGUAGAAUAAUUUGAUUGCUGUUUCUGAGACUAAGAGAACAAAGUGUGUAUUAUAUUUCUGGAUAAAUCAGCGAUAAAUAUGUAUAUUGCAUGUAAUCCUACUUACCCUAUCUCCAUAAGGCUGUAGGAUACCUAGAAAAGACAGUGAGAAGGCCACAAGGAUGACCAUAAAAAUGAAACAGCAUCUGCUUGUAGUAAACCCUGACUGGACUAGAGCUUUCUGAAAUGGAAAAGGGAUGGCUGCAGGUAGGAUGUAACAGGAGCCAACAAAACUAUGGAAGUGAAUUGUGAGUAAUGAAUUGUUUGCUGUCUGUAAAGCAGAGAUUUUAAGAGAACUCUAGCUGGAGAAAUACAUUUCCCAAUGAAAACAUUAGGCAACAGUUUUUACAAGAAGGGGCCGUUCUCCCCAACAGGUAAUGAAAUUGCAGAUCUGAUUGACCCCAGGGGGUUAUUGUGCUGACAAAAAAUAAUAAAUGGGUUCAAAAGGGAAUUAAUUCAAGCCAGUAAACAGUGUUAUUUGGAUGGGAGCUGUAUCAUAUAUACAUGUCUAUAUAUGAAGCAUUUUCAGAGUGAGGAGAGAUUUUUAGUUAUGGUGUAUUAAAACUAUUUCCACCUCUGGGCAUGAAUAAAGUAAAAGAACCAUUUAUAAGGUAUGGGAAAUUAAGUUUCUCCAGCACAGACAAAGAACUUGCAUUUUUCCUACUAGGACAUUUGCCUGACUGCUACAUGCUGCUCACUAGCAUAAAGCACUCACUGCUUUGAAGAAAAUCUGAGAGCACUGGGAAUUAGGGUCUGCAUUAGUUAUGCAGGUAAAAAGUAGUCCAGAAAAUGUACAGGGCUGCCAACACAGUGGGUGCCUGUUCAUCCUUUCUCGAGAUAAGAUAUACUCGUAUAGAUCUUCAUCUCCACAAAAUGACAGGAUAGCCCCGCUUGCCAACGUUAAGCUAUGAUCGUUUCCUGCAACUUUACUGUGGCAUUCAAGUGGUUUUAUUCAGUAACAGUAACAUGGAAGUUGUCUCUGUGUGCAGCUGCUGUCAAAGUGACAUUUUUCUGAUCUGGGCAAACAGUUUUAGUGAUUUCCUUAAACAGGACUAAAAGAGGGGAGAUUUAGAUGAAAUGUUAGGAAGAAAUUUUCACCCCGAGGGUGGUGAGGCAAUGGACAGUCUGCCCAGAGACGCUGUGAUCAGGUUGGAUGGGGCCCUGGGCAACCUGAUCUAGUGGGAGGUGUCCCUGCUCAUGGUAGUGGGUUGGAACCAGGUGAUCUUUGAGGUCCCUUCCAACCUGAGCCAUUCUGUGACACCCUGACUGCCAGGUGGGCUGAGUACUGAGCCCCAGUAAAACUGCCUGAGGCUGCUGUUCCUUUGGCCCCUCCAGACCCCAGUUUGGGACAGAACACAGGUCUGGUGACACCGGUAGGACUGCUCCCUCUUAGCGCUUCUGGGGCUCUGCCUGACCACCGUGGGUGUCGUGGCUGGAGAUGCUCCUGCACGGGGAGGCGGUGGGAGCAGGAGGCUACGUCCAGGGUUUCCCUCGAGGCUGGUGUACGUGGUCAGACCAUCCCCAGGGCCCUGCGGCAGUAUUCGGGGACCUGCUUUGGUGGUGCUGAUGAAGAUGGCUUCUUCCAGGAUCCUCAGGCAAGCUGCUGAAAAUGUCCAAGAGUAAAUAUCAACCGUUUGCUCCUGCCUAUACUCUUGCCUUGCUGUAUGGCUUGAUGGGGACUCCCAGAGGGGGCCUGCCUGCUCAGGUUGUGUUUGAAAGCACAGCCUCGCGAUUGGUGUGGUUAGCUGUGUACCUCCAGCAUGGGCAACCUCCAUGUGCCCAUGGGAGACACCAUCCAUGGUAAAAUAUCCAUGGGGGUAAAAAUAUCCCGCCAUGGGGGUAAGAAUAUGGCAGGGAAAGUGCUUAAAACUAUCAGAAAAACUACUUUCAUGAGCACUUUCAUGUUGGAGUUGGGAGACUGGUAAGGAGGCAUGUAGGGAGUCCUCACAACAGAACAAAACGUUUUCACUUUGAGGACAGGUUCCCCAGAUUUUCCACACAGCCUCACUGCGGGUAUGGGAAACAGGCACACUCUGCCAGGAUCAUAGAGCAUCAAGUGUUUAAUAGGAGCAUGGAGACAAUGGAGAACAUUGUUAAAUUAUACUUUUUCUUCAAGCAUCAUCUGUGCUGAUACCAGGCAGGUCUCAGCUCCCUCUUGGUCACCUGCUGGAGUCCAGCCAGCUGUAUGAUGUGAUGAAGAGGAGCAGCUCUAAAAAAGCCAAACAGCAAAGCCAUGCUAAACUGUCCAUGAUAAACCUGGUGACAGAAGUCUGAGGAAUAAACCGGUGAGAUACUUGCCCUUGUUCGUACAGUAAUGAUAGAAAGAAUAUUAAUUGGAAAAGUUUUGCUAAAAUGGAAAAAUAGCUUGGGGCUCCUGGCCAGCAACUAAUCAGAAUGGAUGCUUUAGCACAAACUGAUGUUGCUGCAGGUUUUCUCCUGCUAACCUGCUGCUGUGUUUAUUGUUGUUGAAAAGUCUCCUUUUUGGAGGGGUCUUUAUAUAGAGAUCUGAGAGCAGGCUGCAGCUAAAGCUGUGCCAGCUAAUGAAACUCAUUGAAGGAGGUGACCUAGGCUUGGAAGUUGCUUCGGUAACAAAUAUUCUCUUAGAAAUGUGCUGAACUUGUGCUAUGAAGAGCUUCUGGCCUUGAGCAGAUUUUGCGUGUUUAGAUACUGUGAAGCAUAAAUUCAGUAUUUAACAUUUAAUCCAAUUAUCCUAGUUUCUUAUAUUAAUAAUGAACUUUGGGGCACUCUCUAAUUAAGUAACCAUUAAUAAACUUUCCCAUCAGUGUUGCAUUAGAAUAAGCCAUUAUGGAGUCAGCUUCAGCAGGUGUAGAAAUCUCAGAAUAAAUAAACAAAGAUGUUAGAAAAUAAAGAAAAAGCAAGCUAUUCCAUGUGUUUCUGCUUAGUUCUUAGGGAAGGGCUUUAUAAUCGACCUACAUAUCACCAUUAGAGAUUCAAUUACCUGUAAUUGCUACCUUUAAAAGCACUCCUUUGUUUAGAAAACAAUAUAUAGAUGGAUUUUGUCAUGGUGCACAGGUUGUGAAUUGAUUUGAGUUUUGUAAUCUCAAGUGGCACAUGAAAUACACCUUGUGCUCCUAAAUCUUCAAGGCAGAGUGGCCAAACUGCUCCCAGUUAAACCAGAGUGAGUCAAAAGCAGUCCACCAAGAUUCGUUACAUUAUUUUUGGAUUUCUAGGCUUGCAAUUCAUCACAGAAUUUGUGCCAUAACACAUAAUAGGUAAUAACAAUUAUUUUGCAUAGAAAGCAAACGGAAAGCAGGGCUCUUAAUCAAUUUAGAUGCUAAAAGCUUCAAAGUUCUUCCCAUGAUUACUCUAGAUUUACAUUUCAUUUUUUGUGCAGAGGGAUGAGAUCCUUCUUAUUUAUUGGCACGACAAAACUUUCCUUAAUGAUGCUUAAGGCUGCUAUGUUACAUACCUCAUCUGUGAAGUCAAUGGGAAAGUCUUCAUCAAUAAUCAUCAGCUUAGUAUCACCUCUAUCCCAGACAAAAAUGCACUCUGAUUUCCCAGCUUUACUGAGUUCCUCUAUAACGUGAUUUUGUGUUAAUACUACUGGGUCACCAUGAAAGUUUUGCAAUAAAUUGCAACUUUAUUAGAAUAUAUUUAAGAAUGGCAAUAAAUAACAGGAAAAUAUAAGGAUCAGAAGUCAGCACUUCUUCAAGUAGAUGAAGAAAUGACUUGUACUGACAUGCCCACAUAGAAUACACAUCAUUACAUUUCCCAGCCAGGAAAAAAAAAAAAAAAAAAAAAAAAGAUACGGUAAAGAUUAAGCCUCCAAUAUAAAUUCUUUUAUUAUUUUUGUAAAAGUUACAAACAGCCAAAAAUAUGACUUGGUAAUGAAAUUGCUGACGGGCCUUAACUACAGCACAAGAAUGCAAUGAUAUAAUACAGUUGUGCUGAGCUACAUUACAUUGCUGCAGUGAUUAAUUCACUGCUGGUUUUGCUGAAGCUGUGCUCUGCAGAAACAUCCACAGGUCUGCUUAAUCCAUAUCUGAGAGUGUGAGGGGGAUAAGCACUGAGUAAGCACCGAGCAGAACUGCAGCACAGUAUAGGACCCCUUUUGUAACACUGCACCACUUAAUAACAUAAACAGGAAUGGAAGUCAUUAAGAGGCUUGUAUAUAAUUAUUUAUGGACUAAAGGGGAAUGGUUCUUGCUAAGGCUCAUUUCUGCAGCUCCCAGACUGCUCCAACCCAACAGUCGGGGAUACUUUUGCUAGCUGGUAAUCCUGAGCCAAUACAGUGAGCUCUAAAUGCUCCCUUUUGUACUUCAGUUGUUGGGGUAGCAAUUACAGCAUAACCGCAUAGUUGUGGCAUGAUUUUCUGGGGCAAAAGCACCUCAGAACAGGCCAGAAGAUGCUCCCUGCAAUGAAGCCCAAACUGACUUCCAAUGGACACCAAGAGCAGAGUCGAACGAGAGCCUAGCACUGCCUCCUGCCCACCCAGCCCAUUUAAAGCAAAUAUAGCCAAGGGUUUAACUUACAGCCUGUGCAGGCUUUAUACCUGUUAAAAAUAGUUGAUUCACACAUCUACGGCCAAAUGAAAUUGUAGGUUAUUACCAGUGCUUGUUAAAAUGUAAUCCCUUGGAAAAAGUCUUUUAUUAUUAUUGUGAUUUUUGUCAUUUGUUUCUGUUGUUACCUGCUCUAAUGUACAUUUUUCAUGUGUUCCCUUUCAGCAUUGUAUUAGAUAUCUACUUAGGUAUACACCAGUUUUUGCAAACUAUGGAGAUUUUCACCUUUGUUCAGUUCCAAGAGAUGACCAAUUUUCUAAAUCUGUUCAAAAAAAAAUCCUGAUUCCAGACCUGGCAAUAUUACUUGGCUCAUUACAUGAACUAGCUUCAUUAGCAAAAAUCCAAAGGAGCUGAACCUUUUCAAUACCAUUCUAAGUGUGAAUAGAACAGUGAUGAUGCAAUUAGCUUAAUUAUAGUUAAUUAAUACACAUAUUCAAGGUAAAAAGGCAUGUGACAAUGGGAGAAUACAAUGGAGACAUGAGGAAACAAAAGUUCAGUCCCUCUUGGCUUGUGUACACUGCUAUAACUGCCUUCAAGUCACCUGAGUUUUGCUGAUAGCUGCACACUGAGGCUGAGGUUUGGGUCUGUUACAGGAGGACCUGGAGGGUUUGCUUCACAAUUCACUAAUAUUUGUGUGAGGAGUUUACUGGUCUUUCACAAAUUAGUAUUUAUUUGAAUGAAUUAUUUUUUUUUUUCUAUUCUAAAAAGUCGUACUGAUGCAAUUAAAAUGGAAGCAGUGUCCUAUGACUAGCUGACCAACUACAGAGUACAGGCAAUUAGCCAACGUGGAAGGCCUGAAGCUAAUAUAUUGACAUGAAAGCAUUUACCUGUGCCCUUGUCAGACAGUACAAUUAUGAAUACGUAUGUCAAAACCGGGAUCAGCUCAGAAGCAGAAAUGUGCAUUACAUGUACAGGAAAGAGUUUGUAAAAGUAGCUACACAGAACUGAUGUGUAUGUGAAUAUAUCUGCUGAUAACUUUCUCUUCGUGUUGGCAAAUGAAAGCACAUUUGAUUUGAAACUGCUCAAAGUGGAGGAAUUUCAAGAGACCGCUUGAUUUUAUAAAGGGUUUCUGCACACAUGUGCAUGCACACACAUUUUUUUGGCAAGUUCUCCUGAGCUGUCUCCAUAUUCCAUCUGGCAGGGUUCAAGCCACAAGCCUUUUUUUUUGUGUGUGUGUGCUGCUGCAUUGUGGUUUGUUAACUCAAACUUUGAAAAAAAAAUAAACUGUGCUAAUGAUGCCAAUCUGGCUGCUGCCCUGCCAGCUUUUUGCAAUUUUCCCAUAACCCUGAGCUGCAUGCCAUGUGUGAGGGAUGGCUAUGCAUCAACUCUCCUGCGAAACACUGGGAAAUCUGUUAAUUACUUUGCUCCUUAAUGAAGUGAUGCGCUAGAGCUGAGUGUGGUUACAGUAAAGCAGCUCAACAUAGCAAGAUGAGUUUAAGAUGCAUUUGCAACAAAUACCUUGAAAAUAUGCUGAGCACGUGAAAGAGCAGGAAUAUGACAGAGGAGAGAUCAUGUUGAACUGGAGAGCCUUUGGGAAAAUACCUGACACGUCAUACUGCCUGGCCCAUUCCAAAACCCAAGAGUUUGUCCUGGGACUGCAUUCAUCAGCCUUGUUUUCAUCUGACACAAACAAUUUAACAGGAUCCAGAGAGUCCAGCAGUGCCAGUGCGUUAUUCCUGCCUGUGGAAAGGUACCCGUUCUCUGAUUGACUGAUUAUGGCAAAAAGGAAAAAUCAUAUCCACCAGAUGCAUCAGAAGAAGACAUAAAACAUACAUAAAAAUGUCAGUUUAUUAUGUCAUCACAGACACCAGCAGGAUUUGCCAAGCAGCCACAUGUCACAGGUACCUGCAGGAUUAGCGAUUCUGGAUCACUCACCCAGAAAUAAUGUGGAAAGCCCUCACCUGACUUCUGAGUUCAGCACAAUUACCGUGCAGAGCAACCUGGAGUGGUUUGGAAAUCCUCGGUUUAGGAACCAAAGGGAGAGGAGGGCAUUUUGCUCACACUUCAGGAUGUUCAGCUUUACUUCUUCACCUUCCCACAGCCACCCUGGCCCCUCGCACACCAUCUCCCCCUCCUUUGCUUCCUGGCUGCAGCAGUUAAAAGUUAUUAUGACAAGGACAUUGCUCCAAGUGACUCCGGAGGUUGUAAAAUAGACUAAUUGCUAAGUAUGUAAACAUCAAUGACUGACUAUUAACCCCCCCAUUAAAGACAGAAAACAAUUUAUACAAUGCAAAAAAGAGUAAUGCAGGAUGGAUUUUCCUUCUGUGCUGAGUUGGUCAGCAAUCACAGUGUAAGUUGACUUUUGUUGUCCCUUAUGCAGUAAAGUUCAGCCUUUGAUAACUUAAAAAA